rnacentral:rRNA from 1 species
GUGAGUAACACGUGGGAAACCUGCCCAGAAGCGGGGGAUAACACCUGGAAACAGAUGCUAAUACCGCAAACAACUUGGACCGCAGGUCCGAGUUUGAAAGAUGGCUUCGGCUAUCACUUUUGGAUGGUCCCGCGGCGUAUUAGCUAGAUGGUGGGGUAACGGCUCACCAUGGCAAUGAUACGUAGCCGACCUGAGAGGGUAAUCGGCCACAUUGGGACUGAGACACGGCCCAAACUCCUACGGGAGGCAGCAGUAGGGAAUCUUCCACAAUGGACGAAAGUCUGAUGGAGCAACGCCGCGUGAGUGAAGAAGGGUUUCGGCUCGUAAAACUCUGUUGUUAAAGAAGAACAUAUCUGAGAGUAACUGUUCAGGUAUUGACGGUAUUUAACCAGAAAGCCACGGCUAACUACGUGCCAGCAGCCGCGGUAAUACGUAGGUGGCAAGCGUUGUCCGGAUUUAUUGGGCGUAAAGCGAGCGCAGGCGGUUUUUUAAGUCUGAUGUGAAAGCCUUCGGCUCAACCGAAGAAGUGCAUCGGAAACUGGGAAACUUGAGUGCAGAAGAGGACAGUGGAACUCCAUGUGUAGCGGUGAAAUGCGUAGAUAUAUGGAAGAACACCAGUGGCGAAGGCGGCUGUCUGGUCUGUAACUGACGCUGAGGCUCGAAAGUAUGGGUAGCAAACAGGAUUAGAUACCCUGGUAGUCCAUACCGUAAACGAUGAAUGCUAGUGUUUGGAAGGGUUUCCGCCCUUCAGUGCUGCAGCUAACGCAUUAAGCAUUCCGCCUGGGGGAGUACGGCCGCAAGGCUGAAACUCAAAGGAAUUGACGGGGGCCGCACAA